rnacentral:rRNA from 1 species
UCCCUUAGAUGUUCUGGGCCGCACGCGUGCUACACUGAGUGGAUCAGCGGGUCAGGUUGCGCGAAAGCGUUUCCUAAUCUUUAAAUCCGCUCGUGAUGGGGAUUGACGGUUGCAAUUUUCUGUCAUGAACGAGGAAUACCUUGUAAGCGCGGGUCAUCAUCCCGCGCUGAAUACGUCCCUGCCCUUUGUACACACCGCCCGUCGCUCCUACCGAUUGAGUGGUCCGGUGAGGCUUUGGGAUCUGAGCGGAAAGAGCGUUUCGCUGUUUCUGCUCGGAAAACUCAGUCGAACCUUAUCAUUUAGAGGAAGGAGAAGUCGUAACA